AAAGAUGGUUAAUAAAAUUUUACUUUGACAUAUUCUACGUAGCAGUGUUGGUGCAGACCAUACACACCCACCGCAGAACAAACAGCAGUUCCUGUUAUGUAAGCGAAUACAUUUACUAUCAACAACAGACAUGUCUGUGUAACAUUAGGCUACUGGUUGGUCAUUAAAUAACAUGUAAAACUAAAUCCAGUGAUCUGCGAGUAAGAAAAACUAUCAUCGAAAUGAAGUAGAGAAACAGAAGUAGCAAAACAUUUGAACGCAAUGUGAUCACGUGAUCUACCGGAAUGGGUGCAGCUCAGCGACUCUCGAGUCUCGAAAUAGCACACACACACACAGAGAGAGACGCCCAGUCGCAGGAUCUACAGUUCAGUCGCUUUUCGGUGGCUUACAACUGAAGUUUAAUCAAACUUAUUAUUAAACUUCAGUUGUUUGCUGUGAUUGUCGUUAUCACACUCACUGAGCUGAACAACACGAAAUGAGAGCGAACAUGGUGCCCUUCCUGGCUUUGCUGUUUCUCUGUCAACGGAUUUCUGCCACCGAAGAUCUGAAAAUUAUUACAGCUGAGUCUGGACAAAAGAAGGUCACUCUGACAUGUCGAGCUCCAAACAACAACAAGAACCUGAUAGGUGUGGAGUGGAGUAGAGCUGACCUGAAAGAAGAAUAUGUCCUCUUGUAUCGGGAUGAGCAGUUUGUCCCAGAUUACCAGCAUCCAUCUUUUAAGAACCGUGUGGAUCUGAAUGACACACAGAUGAAGGAUGGAGACGUGUCUUUGAUUCUGAAGGAUGUGAUUACUGAUGAUGAUGGAAUAUACGUGUGUCGUGUCCUCAUCCCAGGAACAAAGCGCGGAAAGAGAGCUGCUGAAACUGUCAGGAGCAUCAGACUGAUUGUUGAUCCUCCAGGUCAGACAGGAGGAGACACAGAGGAUGGAGGGAAGGAGGAUGGAGGGAAGGAGGAUGGAUCUGUUGGACUAAUAGUUGGUCUGUCAGUUGCUGCUGUCCUCAUUGUUGCCACUGUUGCUGGUUUUUUGAUUUACAGAAAAAAAAAGAGUCAGAGUCCAUACCAGCUUCCAGCUGAGCUGGAGUCUAUUUGAAAUGUUUCAAAGCUUUUUUCCAUCUUAACUGUGAGUCCUCUGUUGCUGUUCCAAAGCUUCAGUGGAGACAUGGAAAUAUGAUCUAGCUCCCGAAUCUGGGCCCUGCACUCUGAAGAGAGUUCAAUUAACACAAGGGUACCUUUUCGUCAUCUGCAUUAAUUUACGCUAACAUUGGCAAUGAGGAUGACCAGGUUCACAUGAAAGGAGUAGCAUGGGCGAUAUCUCACCAUCGCAUUGAUCAUUGUAGCUGAUUGGCUGAUUUCAAUAUUUUUUUGUUUUGUUUUCUAAACUAUUAGAAAAAUAUGAAGAGGUAACACAUAAAACAGAAAAGUAGCACAGCUGCUGCAAACAAGACAGUAGAAGGAGUUGAAAAGCAGUGCAUUUCAUUAGAUUUCAUAUUUAAUAUUAAAAGCACUUUGUAUGUGUAAGCUUUAACAGUAUUGGUCAGUAAGACUGACCCUUAAAGGCAGGAACAAAAGACAGGAAAAUGGUGAGUGUGUGUGAGCAAGUGGGAUUCAAAUGUAGUUUUAGUCUACUAGCAGGCAUUGGAAAGCCCAGAAGCACAAAAUGUUUGCAGCCAGAAGGUUAGAAUAAUUUUUUAUGAUUACAUUUACAAAAAAAAAAAAAAAAAAAAAAAAAAAAAGCUGCAUCGAAGAAUCUGUAUAUAUUGCUGAUGCUCAUUGCGGAAACACAGACUUGUGAAACCUCCACUUGCACAGGUCAGAGGGAUCCUCCAGGAAUGAUGAUGGUAAUUUCUGAAGACUUAUUAAUCAGAAGCCAGUGAUUUCAUCCCUGCUGAUAUCUGGAUCUUAACCUGAUCCGCAGGUAUGAAAUCACUGCUUUCUGAGCAAUCAAUUCUCUAUGAAAUAACAUCACCGUUUCUGGAGGACCCCUCUAAUCUCUGCACAGGGACUAGGAGAAAUUUAUCUAGUGUUUGUUUUUCUGAUGAGCAUCAGUAAUAAAUACACAUUUUUAGAUGCAGCUAUUCAUUUUUCCCCCCCAGAUUAAUGAUGUACCAGUAAGACGUGAACCACUUUUUUAGUAUAGAAAAAAACAGGUUUAAUCAUAAAGUUACCUGGAUAGCACAAAAUUCUGCUUCUGCUAUGUAGAAUAAAGCCGUUAUAAAGUGCGCUUCAUGAAAUUUUACCAACUACCUAAUCGUCCUGAUCUGAAAACAAACAGCAGAGGUGAUAAAAAAUGAAAAUGAAUUGGAUUUUGGAUCCAUGGAUCUAAGCAUUUCCAUACUACUGGUGCAAUAAAGUGUGUGUUAGGCAAAAAAUGAAAUGAAAAAUAAAUAAAUAUAAUAAAAACUUACACAAAUUAGAUAUAAAUUAAAAAAAUAAACAGUAAAAUAUAUCAACAUAAUCAUGCAUCAGCCUGAACGAUGCAAUUCAUCACUUUGUGUGAGGAGCUGAAAAUCCACUAGAGAUCCACGGAUGUGAUGUUUGAAUCAGAGAGUUGUCUGAUAAUGACCCAGAAACCUGGAUCUGUGACACUGAGUCAAUUAGAAUACAAUAGCCCUUUGUUGUCAUUGUACAAUUAAAUUGUAAGUGUUCCACGCCAACUGGGAAUAAAAUAUAAAUGCUAAUAGGAAGGAAUAAAUUACAAACAAGAGAAAUAUACAUAAAACAAUUAUUUUCUUUUAAAUAUAAAUGCCAUGUUUGAAGCUAAAGCAGGUUUCUCAGCUAAACAUACUAUACAACGUUCUGACUCUUUGACAUUCUGGACAUUAUUUAGCAGUGGCUCACAGUUAUUCAUAACUUUCACUGGGUUAUCCCCCUCUGUCUCAAAAGUUUACACAUACCACCUAUGCUUAUGCUUAUGCUAUGCUUAAAAACCAUAAAAAUAAUAAAUAUUAUUUAAAAAGUAACAUGUAUUGAAAUUAAAACUAAAAUAAAUUAAAAACAAUAACCCAAAGUACUGAGAUCCCUUUGAGAUAUGGGAUAGGCUCCACGUGCUCUUUCUUUCUUUUUUUUAUGGUUGUUCAUAUAUUUCAUGUUCAUUGGCUGUCUUUGUAGAUGUUAUCUUGGAUAAUGGAGAAGAUUAGCAAAAGUGCAUCCUGAUUUUAAAAAAAAAAUCCAAUAUCCAUCUUCCUUCUUCCACUUGUCCAAGUCAGUGAUGCUCAGGGGUUGGAGUUUUUUUUAGGUACUAUGCUUGUACCUAUAUUUUGGUUCAUUGGCUGUCUCUGUAGAUGUUAUCAUAAAUAAUGGAGGAGAUUAGCAAUCUUUUUUUUCUUUUCUUUUUUAAAAUCAGUCUUCUUCCAACCCUCCCUCAGGGUUGUGAGAGAAGGGGCGUGGAGCCUAUCCCAGCUGUCAUAGGGCAGGAGGCUCAAAUGCACAUUGUUUCAGUAACAGUGCACCACUUUGCUGGCUGAUUAAAGAAAAUAACAUUGGCUUAAACCAAAUAAGGAUGAAGCAAGGACUUUUGGCAGACAAUGAAAGAUUUGUGAACAUCUGCUACAGCCUGAAAAUUUAAUGUAGCUUGUUCCAGAUUUGUUUAAAAUAUAAAUUUCCCCCAUUAAGACUGAAUAGGAUUAAUGUAAAAUGAAUAAAGUAUCCUGCUUAUUUUUGACUUCUAUCCUGCAAAAGAAAACCACAAUAAAUAAAUAAAUAAAUAAUAAUAUAACACAGUUUCUGAUAUUUGUUGUCUGUUUUCCUGCUUGGGUUCUUUACUUUAGAAGUGAAUUUGACAUGUUCAACAUGUUCAUGCAGGUCUGAGAGAGAGAAGCUGCAGCACUGAAGGUUCAAAGAUGGUUGAUCCCCCCCCCCGCCCCCAGACACAUUUCAAUCUAAAGCAUCUGUUUAUACCUGACAUGAAAGCAGUCAUAAAGGAAGCUUCCUAUCAGUUAUCGGGCCUUCAUCAGGGUCCAUGAUGAAGGCCACAAGACAAAACGCAUUGGCUUGGUAGAAUGUGAGUGUGAGUUAAUACCUCAGAACGACAAAGUGGAGUUUAACCUUGACUGUGUGUCUGUACAAAACACAGACUAUGAGGGCUUCAGUCCACAGACGGAGACAUUAGCAGCAGACCAGGUGGAGGCUCAGCAGCCUGUUUAUGGUCACAGGUGAUGUGAUGUCCUUCACAGCAGAGCAGAUAUAGAAAAACAGCUUUGAACACGUUCCUGGAUUCAUCUGCAGCAGGAGCUGAAGCUGGCUGGGCUGUUACUGUGGGAGCUGGAAUUCAAAGAACUGAGAAACACGUGUCCUGUACAUGUUACUGUUAAUCUGGAUAAUUUUCAUUUAUAUAAUUGGUGUCAGAGGUCACAGUGAACACCUCCAUGUGUUGUUGGUCUGACAGAAUCUCCUGUGCUGCCACCUGCUGGUGAUGAACCAUCAGAGGGCUUCAUACACCAAUCACUAUAAGCAUGUUUUUCAAUUAUAACCUUAAUGACGUAAACUACACAGACACACAAAACAGAAAAACAAAACAAAAAACAAAAAACCUACAUGAAUAAACAGGGUCUGAAAGAUGUCAAGGACUUUUUACUGAAUGGAAACUUAUUACUAUUCACAUCGUGUGAACAGAAUCUGAAGCUCGGAUCAGACGAGUUACUGAAAAGCUGUUGUACUCUAAAAGCCAACAAUGGGACACAGAUGUAUCUUUCUUUUUCAACAGUGGGUUUCCUAUGAGCUUCUAUGACGUAUUUGUCACGUAUUUUGUCUCCGUGAUACUGCAGGCUGACUCAGAGGUGACGUGAACUCAUACGUUUGAUGUCACACAUAUUUGCUUCAGGUGAUGCUGCCUCAGUAACUAAGUAGACUCAAUAACAGAUCCAAGAUGAACAUGAUUUCUUAUCAGAAAAAGGAUAUGAG
ensembl:lncRNA